rnacentral:misc_RNA from 1 species
AUGGAUGAGCUUUUGGCUGUUUUGGGUUAUAAGGUAAGGUCAUCAGACAUGGCGGAAGUCGCGCAAAAGCUUGAACAGCUGGAAGAAGUUAUGGGUCACGUACAAGAAGAUGGACUUUCUCAUCUUGCUUCUGAAACUGUCCAUUAUAAUCCCUCUGAUCUAUCCACAUGGCUGGAAAGUAUGCUUUCUGAGCUCAAUCCAAACCCCAAUUUUGAUCCUCUUGUUGUGGCUGCACAGCCUUCUUCUUUAGAUGAUUCAUUUUUCGCUCCUCCCGAGUCUUCCACCAUCACCUCUGUCGAUUUCGCCGACCAUACCCAUCAACAGCAACGGCAAGAACCCCAAAAAA